rnacentral:sRNA from 1 species
GCUGGGCACGGUGGCUCACACCUGUAAUCCCAGCGGCUUGGGAGGCUGAGGCAGGAGGAUUGCGUGUUCAAAGCCAGCCUCAGCAAUGGCAGAGUGCUAAGCAAUGCAGUGAGCCCCUGUCUCUA